ACUCCUACGGGAGGCAGCAGUGGGGAAUUUUGCGCAAUGGGGGAAACCCUGACGCAGCAACGCCGCGUGAGUGAUGAAGGCUUUCGGGUCGUAAAGCUCUGUCAGAAGGGAAGAAAUGUAAUUGUGCUAAUAUCAUGGUUACUUGACGGUACCCUCAAAGGAAGCACCGGCUAACUCCGUGCCAGCAGCCGCGGUAAUACGGAGGGUGCAAGCGUUGUUCGGAAUUAUUGGGCGUAAAGCGCGUGUAGGCGGUUUGUUAAGUCUGAUGUGAAAGCCCCGGGCUCAACCUGGGAAGUGCAUUGGAAACUGGCAGACUUGAAUACGGGAGAGGGUAGUGGAAUUCCUAGUGUAGGAGUGAAAUCCGUAGAUAUUAGGAGGAACACCGGUGGCGAAGGCGGCUGCCUGGACCGAUAUUGACGCUGAGACGCGAAAGCGUGGGGAGCAAACAGGAUUAGAUACCCUGGUAGUCCACGCCGUAAACGAUGAGAACUAGGUGUUGCGGGUA
rnacentral:rRNA from 1 species